CAUAUGCUUAACUAACCUAAAAAAAAAAAAAUUCGCAUGUUUUGAUGAUCAACGGUGGACAAGGAAGGUGAAGAUCGAUCUAUCAACGGUGGUGCUGCUGCAAAACAUCAUAGAAAGUUCGGUCAUCUGUAUUUACCCGCUUGUGUAAAUGACAAAAGUCACCAAUGGAGGGGACAGCCAGACAGGGGAGAGAGAGAGAGGAGUCUACCACUCGCGCGAAUUGGUGAAGGGUUCCGCUUUCCCACUAACUCCUCCGUUCGAUUUGCUACCGCCGUUUCGGACUGCAAAAGUACCGACCGCUAUCAUCUUCUGAAGCUAUAAAUAUGGAAGCAGAUAGAUCCAGAUGCUAUGUCUUCAAGAUCAACAAAACCAACAACAGAGAGAAAUUACUCAAGGUAAUCGCGCGACGGGAUCAGUCAUGUCAGUGAUGACACAGAAAGAGGCCAAGGGCGCUGAGCUACGGCGUCGCAGGACAAAGAGAAGGAGCCUUGUGGCUACAGUCGAGAUGCUGAGUGCAAUGGUGUCAAAGAAAAGAGAAAAGACGAAACGCAUGAAGAAGAGGCUGAACAAAAUGAAAGCUGAAGUGGAAGAGAUGGAGACGCAAUGUGCCAGAAUGCUUGAGCAGAACAAGUUGGCGAUUGAGGAGAAUGUUGACAUCCAACUCUCUGUUGAUUACAUGCUGCUUGCCUUCUUAUGCGGCAGCAAUGGUGGAGGCUGAUUACUGUCCCCUAAACCCUAGCCCAUGCAUAUUGGUGCGCAAUUUCCUUUAUUGCUUUGAUUGUGAUGGAAGGAAGCUUAUUACUGUUGAUUCCCCAAACCCUAGACUAUGCGCUAGACAAGCAUAAAAAUUUUGUCCACCUAAGAACGAAUGAGUCGGCAUAAGAAAUUCUCCAUCCUUUUGAGCUUCCAUAAUGGUUAGUCCAGUGGAAUGUGACUGGACCUUCAAGACCAGUAGUAGCUCAGAGUUCUUGGGUUCGAAUUGCGCCUUGUGCAUCUUGGAUUUAAAAGGAUAACUCGUGGUCUGCAGGGGUUUGGAGAAGGUGCGGGAAUCGGAUCCAUGCCCUAACGGAUGGGUCGAUUCCUUACAUGUAACAUGAUCAUUGUUCAACCACAGCUCACUUGCAAAGCUAACUGUUUUUAAGGAAGGCGAAAAGCAAUACCAAUCCAUGAUGAGAGUCAAUGAUGGCAAACAGGGGUGCCGGUGCAAAGAGACUCAUUCAGACGUACGUCAGCAAUUGCCUGUCUGUUUAUUCAAAAGCGCCAAAAAGUCACCAAAGCAUCCAAACCAUCAAACCCACCAUACCAUAGCAUACCCAAACAAAAAGGCCAAAAAGUGUCCAAAGCUUUCUUAUCAUACCAGACCUGCGACAUGAAGCUCUAUAAAUAGAGAAUUUGGCCAUUAGAUUUCUUAUCAUUUUUAACUUCUCAUUUCUUCUCCCAAUCAAAACUAAAUGAAGGCCACAGUACUUGAGAAGAUGAGAGCCAAGGUUUCAAAGAAGAGAGAAAAAACAGACCGCAUGAAGAAGCGGCUAAAAGAGAUGAAAGCCAAGCUGGAAGAGAUGGAAUCAGAACAAGCCCGAAUGCUCCAGGACAACAAACUGGCCAUCGAGGACAACGUUUACAUCCAACUCUAUUUGGACUACGUGGUGCUUGCCUUAUGCGGCGGUGAUGGUGGAGCCUGACUACUGCCUUUAAACCAUAGCCUAUGCAUGUGUUCGUUACUUUUUCGCUUGCAAUUUCCUAUUUCUUUGAUUUGUGGUGGAAGGAAGCUGACUACUGUUGGUUUCCCCAAACCCUAGCAUGUUUGUUUGUCUUUUUGGCUUGCAAUAUUAUAGCAUAUUUGUUUGUGUCUUUUUGGCUUGCAAUAUUAUUUCAUGUUUCUUUCAUUCUUUGAUUGUGAUGGAAGAAGCUGAUUACUGUUGUUUUCCUAAACCAUAGCCUAUGCAUUUGUGUCUUUUAUGGCGUGCAUUUGUGCUGAUUGCAAGUGGUGGAAUAUAGUGCAUGUUUGGUAAGGCGGCAGCGUCAGCGGUUCAGCUGUGCGUGCCGUUGGCGUCAAACGCCUUACCUAACAGGUUAACGUCUUCGGCGGCCCACGUAUUAUUAAACUUCUUUUGUCUUUUCUUAAAAACUGUCAGACGGACCCCACUAUUUAUACCUAAAUAUUAUUUUUUAAAUCGUGGGCCCCUUUAUAAUACUUUCUUUACUAAUAUAUUGCAUGGAAAAUCUUUUAGUGACCAAAUGUGCUAUUAACCCUCCCAGAAAUAUUGUCUGCAAAAGGCCCAAGCGAUUUCUCAACACAAGGCAAUCGCAGAAUAAGAGAGUAGGGAGUAGGAAAAUAAAGGAAGGCAUGACACGACUAAAGUCGGAGAUGGUGGAGAUCAGCGUGGAGCAAAAGAGCAUCUCGGAGGGACAGAAGCAAGUGCAGAAGAAGUACGAGGAGAAUCAGAAGGAACACGAGCAACUGUGGAAGGAGACAAAACUCAUUUCGCAAUAGAGUCGUGGUAUUCGAGUUUGUUUAAAUUUGAUGGUCCAAAUCAUGAAAACAAGAGUUGAGAGCGAUUCUGCCAAAAUUGCUCAUAAUUGAAGUUGUAUCUUCAAUUCUCAACCAUGAACCGACAGGACAAUUAUGUUAUUGAGUUUUAGUUUUUUUAUGACAAAAUACACGAGAGUUGAACUCUUCUAUUAUGGUCUCUGCUAUUUAACAUUGUAGACCUAUAUUGGCAGAAUCCCUGCCAUGGAUGUUUUGGGAAUGUGACUAGGUUACAUUUUAUAAGUUCACAAACACGUGGUUAAUGAA